rnacentral:misc_RNA from 1 species
UAGAGAAUGUUCUUGUUGAUGCAAAAGGAAACAUAAAGAUAUCUGAUUUUGGACUCAGCGCUUUACCACAGCAUUUCAGGGAUGAUGGGUUACUGCAUACAACCUGCGGAAGUCCUAACUAUGUUGCACCUGAGAUUCUCUCAAACAGAGGUUAUGAUGGUGCCACAUCAGAUAUUUGGUCAUGUGGUGUUAUUUUAUAUGUAAUUCUCACAGGAUAUCUCCCUUUUGAUGAUAGAAACAUUGCAGUUCUAUAUCAAAAGAUAUUCAAGGGUGACGCUCAGAUACCUAAAUGGCUAUCACCAGGUGCUCAAAACAUGAUAAGGAGGAUCCUCGAUCCAAAUCCAGUUACCAGAAUAACAGUGGCAGGUAUCAAAGCUGAUGAAUGGUUCAAGCAGGACUAUACUCCUGCUGAUCCUGCAGAAGAAGAAGAUGAUAUAUAUAUUGACAAUGAAGCUUUCUCGAUGCAUGAAAUGCCAUUGGAAGGGGAGAGGAGUCCAGGAUCGCCUGCACUCAUCAAUGCCUUUCAAUUGAUUGGAAUGUCCUCAUGUCUAGACCUCUCUGGGUUCUUUGAGAAAGAGGAUGUUUCAGAGAGGAAGAUCAGAUUUACAUCUAGUCACUCUUUGAAGGAUUUGCUUGAGAAAAUAGAGGAUAUUGUGACGGGGAUGGGAUUUCUAAUCCAAAAGAAAAAUGGGAAGUUGAAAGUGGUGCAAGAGAACAAGGAGCAGAGAAGUAUGGGUAGUCUUGCAGUUGCUGCAGAGGUAUUUGAAAUAAGUCCAUCGCUGCAUGUAGUUGAAUUACAUAAAUCAUAUGGAGAUCCUUCAGUUUAUAGACAGUUGUGUAAAAAGCUAUCAAAUGAUUUAAGCGUCCCAUCGGGUCAAGGACUGUUGACCACACAAGUGUGAAUAAAUAAUGAAUUGUUAGGUGAGGGAGGCCUUGGAGAGGAGAAACCAGUGUACAUCCCUGUUUACCUUGUGCAAAAACCUACUCUUUGUAGUUAUUAUAGUUAUUCAGCAUGUGAAAGAAAGUAAAUUAUGCCCUUUGGGCCUUGAAAUGAAAGAGUAAAUUAUGCC